rnacentral:tRNA from 1 species
GUCUGCGUAGCUCAGCUGGAUAGAGCACAAGCCUCCUAAGCUUGGGGUCGUGGGUUCAAAUCCCGCCGCAGACGCCA